rfam:Prunus persica cultivar Lovell chromosome G2, whole genome shotgun sequence.
UUUGAGGGGAAUGUUGUCUGGCACGAGGCCACCAAUCUUGGUUCCUUCCAAAUUUCAAUCCAUACCGAUCUUUGAUCAGAAUUUACGUUCUACGUACAGACGCUCAGGGACUGUGUAUGUUAGUGUCCUCGGACCAGGCUUCAUUCCCCUCAAU